rnacentral:rRNA from 1 species
CCCUUAGACGUUCUGGGCCGCACGCGCGCUACACUGACCAGUGCAACAAGCAUCCGUCCUUGGCCGACAGGCUCGGGCAAUCUUUGAACGCUGGUCGUGAUGGGGAUAGACUUUUGCAAUUUUUGGUCUUCAACGAGGAAUUCCUAGUAAACGCAAGUCAUCAACUUGCAUUGAUUACGUCCCUGCCCUUUGUACACACCGCCCGUCGCACCUACCGAUUGAAUGGUCCGGUGAAGCCUCCGGAUUGGCGCGCACCUCGGUGCCGCCGAGAAGUUGGCUAAACCUUACCAUUUAGAGGAAGGUGAAGUCGUCACA